UACGAAGGGGGCUAGCGUUGUUCGGAUUUACUGGGCGUAAAGGGCGCGUAGGCGGCCGUUUGCGUCGGAUGUGAAAGCCCGGGGCUCAACCCCGGAACGGCAUCCGAUACGGGACGGCUGGAGACCGGGAGAGGAGGGUGGAAUAGCCAGUGUAGAGGUGAAAUUCGUAGAUAUUGGCUGGAACACCGGUGGCGAAAGCGGCUCUCUGGCCCGGUUCUGACGCUGAGGCGCGAAAGCGUGGGGAGCAAACAGG
rnacentral:rRNA from 1 species